ACUAUUUUCAUGGACAGUGCAAGCUCCUGAAUCCUACCUAAUAUAUAGUAUUCCAGGGUUGUCUGUCAGCACAGGGAAGUUGGAUUGGAUUAACUUUCUGCCUCUCUUUUUGAUUUUUUCUUCAGCGUCGCCAUCCUUACCAUCGUUUUUCUACACUAGGAUGGUGCAGGAUCCACGGCUGUUGCUGUGAUUCCAAGAGGCAACUUCGAAAAUACCCAAGCAAGUUGAGUACAUGUGUCCUGUAGGAAUUACAAUAAGCCAUUUUUAUGCGUAACAAUAUGCCUGUUCAUUCUCAUUUCAUAAGCAUAACAAGAAUCAGAAGAGGGUUCAAAGGAAGGAAUUAUAACAGCCAUUAUAUAUGUUUCAUAUAUAUUUUCUUGUGUACUCAGCAGUGCCAGGUCGGAGAACAUGCUGCCUUCACCAACUUGCUGAACCUGAUAGACAUCAGAUGCAUGAACUGGAUGGGCGUGUUUAAUUUCAUGCUUCUAUUCGGUGGCGGAUCUAGAAAAUUGAUUCGUUGGUGCUAGAACGUCUCUAUCGGUGUUACAGUAUAUUAAUUAUACUUAAAUCAUGGUGUUAUAGCAUAUGGAUAAGCAGUUUCGCUAUAGUUUUUUGCUGAAAGUCGUCGGUGUCGCCUGACACCGGUCCUUCUACUGUACAUCUGCCCCUGCUUCUAUUGGAAUUAGGGGUGUAGUACAAGCCUAAACGGGAUGUCUCUUUCAUCAACACACAGUUUGGUUUGACCUCAUAAAAUAGAAAUGGAAAAAUGGAAUAGAACAAAGUGAGUCAUGUAGCUAUAUUAAGGGCCUAGGCUUAGGCUUUUAAGCCAAUUUUUUUGCUUGUAUAUUUCAUAAGCCAGUGACUUUGAAGCCUUAGGUGUAUUGAUGCAGUCAUACCUUCACUUUAAAUAAGCUGAAAAAUUUACUCCGACUUACCUUUUAGCAAUAGUGUAAGAAUAGCUUAUGGCUUUCAAAAACAGGAAAAAAACAGUUGCUUGUUUGUUUAUCAUAGGCUUUUUGGCUUAUAAGUUACUACAUCCGUUUUGUAGUAUGACAUUGUUGACUUUUUACAUAACGUUUGACCAUUCGUUUUAUUCAUAAAUAUAUAAAGUAUAAGCAUGUGAAAUUACAAGUUAAGAUUAUAGUUUUUUUAUUACAGUAUAAAAUAAGUUAUAAUAUAUAUUUUGAAUAAGAUGAAUGAUCAACGUCAAAGUCAGCGAAGUCAUUACUUUUGAAAACGGAGGUAGUACUACUAGCUUAUACAAACAUGGAUUAAGGCUGUGUUUGGCAAUGAUAGUUAGGAACUAAUCCCCCGCAAUAGAGUGACUCAUUAGCGGCCGUUCAGUUUUGGAGCGUGGUUUCAUUGAGGUGGCUCCUCUUCCCCUCCCUGACCACGUCAUGUGCCUUGUGGGGAGGCCGACGCACGCUGACAUGUUAGUGGAUCCCACAAUAUAUUUUAGGAACAAAUGGGUCCCACAUAUUUU